AUGGGCUUCACGGGAGACACUGCAUCGCUACUGAGGAUUUCGUGUAACACCAAGAGAAGAAGAAUGUGACAUUGGAUUAACCAAGCUGAGGAAAGCCAGAGGCAGUGGAACACCUGAAGGAUGAUGAGGGAAAAUCAGGAGUCACCCAGCACCCUGCGCCAUCUCUAAUGGUGGGAUGCGCGGGAGCCUGAGCUCUGCGUCGUCAUGGUGAGCACCGUGGUGAUGCCCAGCGCCACUCUGGCCGGCGCGGCGUCCAUG